UCUCUUCUGUACAUAUUUGUGCUGUUGGAGGCAACAAAGGAGGCCCACCCUCGGACCCCGACAGGCACGUGUGCGGAGGGAGCG